AUUGAACGCUGGCGGCAUGCCUUACACAUGCAAGUCGAACGGCAGCACGGGUGCUUGCACCUGGUGGCGAGUGGCGAACGGGUGAGUAAUAUAUCGGAACGUACCUUAUUGUGGGGGAUAACGCAGCGAAAGCUGUGCUAAUACCGCAUAAUCCCUUAGGGGGAAAGCGGGGGACCGUAAGGCCUCGCGCAAUUAGAGCGGCCGAUACCUGAUUAGCUAGUUGGUGAGGUAAAGGCUCACCAAGGCGACGAUCAGUAGCUGGUCUGAGAGGAAGAGCAGCCACACUGGGACUGGGACACGGCCCAGACGCCUACGGGAGGCAGCAGUGGGGAAUUUUGGACAAUGGGGGCAACCCUGAUCCAGCAAUGCCGCGUGAGUGAAGAAGGCCUUCGGGUUGUAAAGCUCUUUUGUCAGGGAAGAAACAGCAGCUCUAACACAGUAUGCGAAUGACGGUACCUGAAGAAUAAGCACCGGCUAACUACGUGCCAGCAGCCGCCGUAA
rnacentral:rRNA from 1 species